AUCAACUUCGGGCCGCAGGAGGCUCACUGAGUUGCUGUAAUGCCGGGGCAUUUAUUCAUCAUCCUCUCCCAUGCUGCUUCCAGCCUUGUCACUCAGCACAACAAAUAGUUAAUGGAUCCCGACUCCUGCGAGGCUUCGCAUUUCACAACCAGGAGGCUCUGCAGUGGGUCUGCUCUUUCCCGCUUUCGUGAAAAAAAACUGGCAGAGGGGUAAUCGCUCACAGGAAACAUGCUGACCAAGUCCACCUGUGAAUGACGACAGGAAGGAAGAAACGAACACAUCCCCUCCAGGGGCUGACCGGAACCAGGAAAUGUUUGACUUUACUCCCUCCUCUUUUAGUAUAAAAGAAGCCUGAAUUCUAACUCAGGCAAGAUGGUUCUUUGGGACACGAGUCCAUGGUCUGCUGGCUUUCUGAAUAAAGUUGCUACUCCUUGCCCCAACAA